UACGGGGGGGGCGAGCGUUGUUCGGAAUUACUGGGCGUAAAGGGUGCGUAGGCGGUGCUCUAAGUCGGAUGUGAAAACUCUGGGCUCAACCCAGAGCCUGCAUCCGAAACUGGAGUGCUAGAGUUCUGGAGGGGGUAGCGGAAUUCCUGGUGUAGCGGUGAAAUUCGUAGAUAUCGAGAGGAACACCGGUGGCGAAGGCGGCCAACUGGACGAAUACUGACGCUGAGACUCGAAAGCGUGGGGAGCAAACAGG
rnacentral:rRNA from 1 species